AAUGAACGCUGGCGGCAUGCCUAACACAUGCAAGUCGAGCGACCAGACAGGGAGCUUGCUCCCCUGAGGUUAGCGGGUGGCGGGUGAGUAACUCGUUCAUAACAACCCUCUUAGACUGGGGUAACUACGGGAUACCGCUUACACUACUAGCUCAUAUCUCCAACCGCUUGGUUCACUAGUUCUUCGCUGUUUUGCUGUCUCACUUAGCUGCAUCCGGGCCGCAUUAGCUAGUUGGUAAAGGAACGGCUUACCAACGCGACGAUGCGUAGCCGACCUGAGAGGGUGAUCAGCCACACUGGAACUGAGAAACGGUCCAGACUCCUAAGGGAGGCAGCAGUAGGGAAUAUUCCGCAAUGGGCGAAAGCGUGAUGGAGCAACACCGCGUGAGUGAUGAAGGUCUUCGGAUGGUAAAGCGCUGUUGUUAGGAAAGAACAAAAGUGGAAUUAUCCAGGAAUGUCUUGACGGUACCUAAAGAAUAAGCCACGGCUAACUUCGUG
rnacentral:rRNA from 1 species